rnacentral:rRNA from 1 species
GAUGAACGCUGGCGGCGUGCCUAAUACAUGCAAGUCGAGCGAAUGGAUUAAGAGCUUGCUCUUAUGAAGUUAGCGGCGGACGGGUGAGUAACACGUGGGUAACCUGCCCAUAAGACUGGGAUAACUCCGGGAAACCGGGGCUAAUACCGGAUAACAUUUUGAACCGCAUGGUUCGAAAUUGAAAGGCGGCUUCGGCUGUCACUUAUGGAUGGACCCGCGUCGCAUUAGCUAGUUGGUGAGGUAACGGCUCACCAAGGCAACGAUGCGUAGCCGACCUGAGAGGGUGAUCGGCCACACUGGGACUGAGACACGGCCCAGACUCCUACGGGAGGCAGCAGUAGGGAAUCUUCCGCAAUGGACGAAAGUCUGACGGAGCAACGCCGCGUGAGUGAUGAAGGCUUUCGGGUCGUAAAACUCUGUUGUUAGGGAGGAACAAGUGCUAGUUGAAUAAGCUGGCACCUUGACGGUACCUAACCAGAAAGCCACGGCUAACUACGUGCCAGCCGCCGCCGUAAUAC